rnacentral:rRNA from 1 species
GUGCCAGCAGCCGCGGUAAUACGGAGGUCCCAAGGGUUGCCCGGAGUGACUGGGCGUAAAGGGUCCGUAGGCGGCCUGGUAAGUCUCCCGUGAAAGCUGCCCGCUCAACGGGCAGAGGUCGGGAGAUACUGCUGGGCUCGGGACCGGCAGGGGGGACCGGAAUUCCCGGUGUAGCGGUGAAAUGCGUAGAUAUCGGGAGGAACGCCGAUGCCGAAGGGGGGUCCCUAGGCCGGCUCCGACGCUGAGGGACGAAAGCUGGGGGAGCGAACCGGAUUAGAGACCCGGGUAGUCCCAGCCGUCAACGAUGGGUGCUAGGGGGCGGGGUAAAUCCUCGCGCCCGAAGCUAACGCGUUAAGCACCCCGCCUGGGGAGUACGGCCGCAAGGCCGAAACUCAAACGAAUUGACGGGGACCCGAACAAGCCGCGGUGCAUUUGGUUUAAUUCGAUGCAGCGCGAAGAACCUUACCCGGGCUCGACAUGCCAGCUCAAGCCUGCCCGAAAGGGUAAGGUGGGCUGGGCGAUGAGUCCAGCCAGCUGGCACAGGUGCUACAUGGCUGUCGUCAGCUCGUGCCGUGAGGCGUCGGGUUAAGUCCCAGAACGAGCGCAACCCCUGCCCGCUGUUGCCAUUCCCCGAGAGGGGAGGCACUCUGCGGGGACUGCCGGCGAAGAGUCGGAGGAAGGAGGGGACGACGUCAAGCCCGCAUGGCCCUUAUGCCCGGGGCUACACAAGUGCAACAAUGGCCGGGACAAAGGGAUGCGAGGCCGCAAGGCUGAGCAAAUCCCAAAAACCCGGCCUCAGUUCGGAUCGGGGUCUGCAACCCGACCCCGUGAAGGAGGAAUCGCUAGUAAUCGUGGAUCAGCAUGCCACGGUGAAUACGUUCCCGGGGG